GUAUGCUUGGACCAGUAAGAAAAUAUUUUGCAGGUAUUCUUCAACUUUAAAUGAAACCUCCACAUUGGACCUCCUUCAACUUGAAUAUCCCAGUAUGCAGAUUGGCUAUGAAAAUUAGGAGUGGAGCAUGAUCUGAACCGGUUCUAACCAAAUGAGAGACAUUGGUAGAAGUGAACUUCUGCAGCAAAUCAUUAUUAACAAGAGCCCUAUUCAAUCUAGCCCAUAUUCUUUUUCUAGGUUCUUAAACAUUGCACCUUGUGUAAGGAGAACCAUUAUAACCAAGAUCAAUCAUGUCACAGUCUCUCCAAUACAAUUUAUGAAAGGGCCCCGGGCGCCUCGGGUGUUAAUCGGACGACGCGUGGAACUCAUUUGGAAUUGGAAGAGCAGCUGAAGCACCAGGUUUAUGGUGUAAUCGCACCUGCGGAGGGCUAACUGCAUGUGCGAGCUCGUAGAAGCGAGCCAUGGACCGCAGAAACGGCGCAACACAGGUUGCCCAGUGAUCGUAGUAGCGUCGAAGGGACCGCACCUGCGGAGGCGCAGGUGCAAAGAAGAUGAUAGCAGAUGCAGAAUAGGGUUGCAGGUGCAACGCGCUUGCCACAAAAGCGGACUCCCGUCCGCAGAAGCAAAACCAGCCAGCCUAGGCACUUCCGCAGAAGCAAUGCCGCAUAUGCGGAAUCGCUGGAGCUAGUGUGGUUCUUUUAAAACGGGACUUAGGCUAUUUUGAGUUCAUUUAUUGCACACUUGGGUAAUUUUUGGAGCUUCAAAGAGGGGGUUUCCACCUAGCUAAUUGAGGUAAGUAAUUUCUAUGCAAUAUGAGUUUAAUACAUAGAUUAUGGAUAGAUUUAACAUGUAAAAUUUGUGAAAUCAUGUGUUUAGAUGAAAAAACUUAGAUUUUGAUAAAAAUGGGAUUUAACUACGAAAAUGGUUAGGGA